GACGAACGCUGGCGGCGUGCCUAAUACAUGCAAGUAGAACGCACAGUUUAUACCGUAGCUUGCUACACCAUAGACUGUGAGUUGCGAACGGGUGAGUAACGCGUAGGUAACCUGCCUGGUAGCGGGGGAUAACUAUUGGAAACGAUAGCUAAUACCGCAUAAUAUUAAUUAUUGCAUGAUAAUUAAUUGAAAGGUGCAAUUGCACCACUACCAGAUGGACCUGCGUUGUAUUAGCUAGUAGGUGAGGUAACGGCUCACCUAGGCGACGAUACAUAGCCGACCUGAGAGGGUGAUCGGCCACACUGGGACUGAGACACGGCCCAGACUACUACGGGAGGCAGCAGUAGGGAAUCUUCGGCAAUGGACGAAAGUCUGACCGAGCAACGCCGCGUGAGUGAAGAAGGGUUUCGGAUCGUAAAGCUCUGUUGUAAGAGAAGAACGGGUGUGAGAGUGGAAAGUUCACACUGUGACGGUAUCUUACCAGAAAGGGACGGCUAACUACGUG
rnacentral:rRNA from 1 species